rnacentral:rRNA from 1 species
GGGAUUGCCUCAGUAACGGCGAGUGAAGCGGCAUCAGCUCAAAUUUGAAAUCUGGCUCCUUCGGGGUCCGAGUUGUAAUUUGUAGAGAGUGCUUCGGGGGAGAGUGCGGUCUAAGUCCGUUGGAACACGGCGUCAUAGAGGGUGAGAAUCCCGUAUGCGACCGCGGCUCGAGCCCGUGUGAAGCCUCUUCGACGAGUCGAGUUGUUUGGGAAUGCAGCUCAAAAUGGGUGGUAAAUUUCAUCUAAAGCUAAAUACUGGCUGGAGACCGAUAGCGCACAAGUAGAGUGAUCGAAAGAUGAAAAGCACUUUGGAAAGAGAGUUAAACAGUACGUGAAAUUGUUGAAAGGGAAGCGCUGGCAACCAGACCUGUCCGUAGGUGAUCAGCCGCUGUUCUCAGUGGUGCACUCGCUCUGCGAUCAGGCCAGCAUCGGUUCUGGCGGUCGGAUAAAGGCCUUGGGAAUGUAGCUUCACUUUGGGGGAGUCUUAUAGCCCUCGGUGCAAUGCGGCCAGCCGGGACCGAGGACCGCGCUUCGGCUAGGAUGCUGGCGUAAUGGUUGUCAGCGACCCGUCUUGAAACACGGACCAAGGAGUCUAACAUCUAUGCGAGUGUUUGGGUGUUAAACCCAUGCGCGGAAUGAAAGUGAACGGAGGUGAGAACCCUUAAGGGCGCAUCAUCGACCGAUCCAGAUGUCUUCGGAUGGAUUUGAGUAUGAGCAUUCAUGUUGGGACCCGAAAGGUAAUGAUCAGUCCUUAUUAUAUUUUAUCGAAUCCAAGCUAAUAGACUUUAUAGAUGGUGAACUAUGCCUGAAUAGGGUGAAGCCAGAGGAAACUCUGGUGGAGGCUCGCAGCGGUUCUGACGUGCAAAUCGAUCGUCAAAUUUGGGUAUAGGGGCGAAAGACUAAUCGAACCA